CUCGUGUCGUGAGGUAUCGUUGGGUUAAGUCCCGUAACGAGCGCAACCCUUGUCCUUAGUUACCAGCACGUUAUGGUGGGCACUCUAAGGAGACUGCCGGUGACAAACCGGAGGAAGGUGGGGGAUGACGUCAAGUCAUCAUGGCCCUUACGGCCUGGGCUACACACGUGCUACAAUGGUCGGUACAAAGGGGUUGCCAAGCCGCGAGGUGGAGCUAAUCCCAUAAACCGAUCGUAGUCCGGAUCGCAGUCUGCAACUCGACUGCGUGAAGUCGGAAUCGCUAGUAAUCGUGAAUCAGAAUGUCACGGUGAAUACGUUCCCGGGCCUU
rnacentral:rRNA from 1 species